rnacentral:rRNA from 1 species
UACGGAGGAUCCAAGCGUUAUCCGGAUUCACUGGGUUUAAAGGGUGCGUAGGUGGAAUGACAAGUCAGUGGUGAAAACCUGCAGCUUAACUGUAGAACUGCCAUUGAUACUGUUGUUCUUGAGUACAUUUGAUGUGGGCGGAAUGUGUCGUGUAGCGGUGAAAUGCUUAGAUAUGACACAGAACACCAAUUGCGAAGGCAGCUCACAAAACUGUAACUGACACUGAGGCACGAAAGCGUGGGGAUCAAACAGG